GUUAGAACCUACGUGGACCAUGAGACUUUCUUCUGAGGCCCUGUGAAAAACAGAAGAUUAUCUUCAUCCAGGAUAUCGUGAGCAUUCAAGUCUGGAAGAUCAUCCACCAGAUCAUCCUUCUGGACUUUUUGCUCUUUCUCCAUGAAUUGAUACUCCAUUUACCAGAAAAUCAUGUUGAAAUAAUCAAGGACAUUCUGAUGGCCCAACAAUUACAUCUGCCCAGAACACUGGAGGCAGAAAAGUCCAUUAUGUAUCUGCUGAUGAAAUAAAAACCUCCAGUGCCCAGACUCUCUGCCUGCAUAUAUACGUCGGGAACUAAUAUAGGCUUAUAUUUAACUUUUUCAUGUUAUGUUUCAUAUUAUAUAUUUAGCCCUGCCUGUCCUAGAGGGAGACCUUUACCCCAAAACUAUGACUGGCAUAUCUGGUUUAUGACAUCCUCGUUACCUGGGUAGUCAGGGCUGUGCUGCUAGAAAUGUAGCAUCCUAGGGAAAAUAGACCCUGGGCUGGAUGGUAAAUGGAUGGGCUCAAUGGCAGGCAUUCAUGGCAAGGUACAUCAAGGGAACCCAGGCAUCCAGUCAGCUGCAAAUAUAAUCUCCCAGGAUGUCUAAGACGGAUCCACUGCCAAGAACGGCAGGAAUGUCCUUCCGACAUUGUCCAGAAAUUAUGACCCUUUCUGAACAGGGAAGAUUCUUGCUGAUAUUACUUCUGAUAGUUCACAUCUUUGGGUCUUGCUUCCUGUUAGCUCGAGGUCUGCCGGGUAAGAAUGCCAGCGCUAAGGCACCUGUUCUUCCUCUGAUCACAAGAAAUGCUAGCCCUCCCUUGACAACAAAGGACAUUCCACCUCCGAUAACCACAGAAAUGGCUCCCCCUCUCAUGGCAACAGAGGUGGCUUUUACUAGGGCCGGAACGGCACAGGCUCCCCAUGACAAACUGCCCGAAACAAGAGCCGGAAUUCUGUCUGGUGCUACGCUUGGAGGUCUCAUUGGUGGGUCUCUUGUCGUGAUCUCAGUCCUUAUAGGCUUGGUUGCUUUCCAGAUGGUCGCUUCUAAAAGAACUGCAGGGCCUCGUGAAGCGAGCGCAGCCAGACUUGCUAACAGCGCUGAGCUCAAGUAAGUACCAAGCCUAAAGGAUAGAAUUUAAAUGGUCCCAUGGGAGAAACCCAACUUUUGUUCCAGAGGCAGGGGGUGUCAUACAAAAAAUUCAUCUCCAUUGUCGCGAGUCAAUUCAUGCCUAGGAUCCGAGGAUGCUAAUCUCAAACAGGGUUAGAUAGUAUUUUUAAGAAGACCGAAGAAAGUAGGA
rnacentral:lncRNA from 1 species